CGCCUAAUACAGGUAUUGAAAGCACGACAUUGCUCACAUUGCUUCCAGUAUGAUUUUGCCCGCACUCUGUUGCGGGCUUUUUUU
rnacentral:antisense_RNA from 2 species